AGUGAACGCUGGCGGUAGGCCUAACACAUGCAAGUCGAACGGCAGCACAGUAAGAGCUUGCUCUUACGGGUGGCGAGUGGCGGACGGGUGAGGAAUACAUCGGAAUCUACUUUUUCGUGGGGGAUAACGUAGGGAAACUUACGCUAAUACCGCAUACGACCUACGGGUGAAAGCAGGGGAUCUUCGGACCUUGCGCGAUUGAAUUAGCCGAUGUCGGAUUAGCUAGUUGGCGGGGUAAAGGCCCACCAAGGCGACGAUCCGUAGCUGGUCUGAGAGGAUGAUCAGCCACACUGGAACUGAGGCACGGUCCAGACUCCUACGGGAGGCAGCAGUGGGGAAUAUUGGACAAUGGGCGCAAGCCUGAUCCAGCCAUACCGCGUGAGUGAAGAAGGCCUUCGGGUUGUAAAGCCCUUUUGUUGGGAAAGAAAAGCAGCAGGUUAAUACCCCGCUGUUCUGACGGUACCCAAAGAAUAAGCACCGGCUAACUUCGUG
rnacentral:rRNA from 1 species